rnacentral:rRNA from 1 species
AUUGAACGCUGGCGGCAUGCCUUACACAUGCAAGUCGAACGGUAACGCGGGGCAACCUGGCGACGAGUGGCGAACGGGUGAGUAAUGUAUCGGAACGUGCCCAGUUGUGGGGGAUAACUGCUCGAAAGAGCAGCUAAUACCGCAUACGACCUGAGGGUGAAAGCGGGGGAUCGCAAGACCUCGCGCAAUUGGAGCGGCCGAUAUCAGAUUAGGUAGUUGGUGGGGUAAAGGCUCACCAAGCCGACGAUCUGUAGCUGGUCUGAGAGGACGACCAGCCACACUGGGACUGAGACACGGCCCAGACUCCUACGGGAGGCAGCAGUGGGGAAUUUUGGACAAUGGACGCAAGUCUGAUCCAGCCAUGCCGCGUGCGGGAAGAAGGCCUUUGGGUUGUAAACCGCUUUUGUCAGGGAAGAAAAGGCUCCUUCUAAUAUAGGGGGCUCAUGACGGUACCUGAAGAAUAAGCACCGGCUAACUACGUGCCAGCAGCCGCCGCGG